AUACGGAGGGUGCAAGCGUUAUCCGGAUUCAUUGGGUUUAAAGGGUGCGCAGGCGGACUUGUAAGUCAGUGGUGAAAUCCCGGGGCUCAACCUCGGAACUGCCAUUGAUACUGCAAGUCUUGAGUUUGGUUGAAGUGGGCGGAAUGUAGCAUGUAGCGGUGAAAUGCAUAGAUAUGCUACAGAACACCGAUCGCGAAGGCAGCUCACUAAACCAACACUGACGCUCAGGCACGAAAGCGUGGGGAGCGAACAGGAUUAGAAACCCGAGUAGUCC
rnacentral:rRNA from 1 species